AGCACGCAGGUUUCGGUGGUCUCCUGAGGUUAUUGCCUUGUCGAUACUCGUCUUGAGGAUUACUAUUGGUAAAUGUCUUUGAGAUGGUGGAACUCUCUAGAGGUAACAGAUCCAUGGUUCAAGAUAAUUUGAUCCCAAAGCAGCAGCGACCAUUGACUGCCCAAGCUGUAGGCAUAGUCUAUUUUACAUUGACGAACCGGACGUAACUUAGUAAUCUGUGAUUAAAUAUCUAUAAAAGACAA
rnacentral:sRNA from 1 species